UUUCAUUUGCGCAUCAUAUAUUUUUUGUUUUGCCGGAUUUAAGUACAUCUCUGAUUUCAACCAAAUUCAGAGUUCAUUUUACUAAGACAAGGAAAAAUAUUUCCAUAGUUUAGCGCCCCCCACUCGCUCGCAACCUUGCAUUCAUACAGGUCACAAUUCCAUCUCGAUCUCGACGACCUCUUUAGACGAAUACUUAAUGGUCGAGGUUAUUUGCAAAGAAGAGUUUGGUUGUACUAGAUUAAAACUGCACACUUUGGCGCUGGGGGUACUUCGGGUGAUUGAUUGUGUCGAACACACAUUAGUGAAAUUUGUGCUGAUGCUUCUAUCUCAACUAACUUAAACUGAAGAGGGUUUCUCAUUCUCAAUAUUUCAGGGAAAAAGCAAUUAAAGGAUCCGACCAAUCAUGAUAUAAAUCCCACACUUGACCUGACACACCGCCGCGAAGGCCAAAAACGAAACACACGAUCGAAGUCUGGAAUGCACCGUUGAUGUCAUAGACCCGCUCAGAAGAAAGUCAAGUCCUCUAGAAAUGUUGUCGUCGAGGUGGAAAGGGGCAAACCGAUUUCUAGCCUCUGCGUAAAAAAGUCCGCUUCUCCUCCGUACACCAUCUCUACUUUCUAGAAUCAAGUCUGCAAGCUCCACCAUUCAAUAACGCUCUACGGAGAUACUACCAACAAGUGGGUGCCCACAUGACUCUUGAGAGACAAGAGUAACUGGAAUUGUGAUAAUUCGAUGGAUCAUAAACGAGCUCUUUACCAUCGGCGAAAUUUCUAUUGGUAUUGGCCAAUUGGAAGCGAAACUAACGAAACGCCAAACCAGAAUGAUGGAAUGGGCUAAAGCAGUGGGCUUAGUGGACUUAGUGGACUUGAGUGGACUUGGUGGGCUCCAGUGGGACGCCAGAAAUCCAAUUUUUUGGAAGGUGAAUUAUUUUAGUUUAAUAUAACUUGAUCGGAUCUGGGCUCGGCAGGGGCGCGACGCGGCUCGGUUUUUUUCUUGUCUUUUGAUUCUUUGAAUUGGGUUUGGCUACAGACGCCGGUACUUGCCUAGGUAGGUAUAUACGUAUAUACGUGUUCGUAUUCAGAAUUGCAAGUCACAUGUGAAGGACAUUGAUUCAUCAGCUCACGUUCAUUAUAACCAGCAAUAUAGCUCUCAGCUGGCAAACAAACAGGGAAACCACCGACAUGGAUAGAUAGGUAUAAGAUAAGUCUACAGUACUUGACGAAUCCGUACUGUACUCUACACCACGACAACGCUUAGCGCUAAAUGAAAAGUUUAAUCAACUACCGAAGAAUCCUUGCAAGCCGAGUGGCGAUAUCGAUACGUACGCUGUACGAUUGCAUCAAAGAAAGUUCGAUUUUCUUGCUUUCAGGCUUCGUCUGAAAUCCAACCCCUGUCAGGUACAGACUCUACACUGGCGGGCUCUAAAAGUUUAAGCAGCGCUAGUGCCGUUUAGCAGACCGUUCGACACGGUUUGAAUGAUUUCCUGAAGUGGCAAAUAGAUAUUCUGAGUGAUUGUUUUGCCUUGGUAGCGACGUAGACAAGGACAAGGACAUCAUCAUCAACAAAAAUUGUAAUCACCAGAAGAUAAAAUUCCGGGUUAAUCGUGUGUAGUCAGGCUUGGUUGAGCUCGAAACUGGAAACAGCCCCACUUCCGGAAGCAUUCCGGCCCUGCCGUACCGGCGUGUUGUGUUCCAUGGUUACGGCUCUGCCACUUAUCUUAGUACGUUACAGAUAAAUACAGCCCAUCUAUUCUUAAUGUUCAAACAUACGCAGGGACAGAGGGGACUAGGUAACAGGAAUACGCGCUACGUACUACGUAGUACUACUCAGAGUAUGGUAUGACCUGUCGUAACAAGCGCAUAUUCAAUCGCCAUGCAGAUGCAGAUGCCAAAGUAGAUCAGAUGGAUGAUUGCAAAAACAUGCAUGCCCAAUAUAGC
rnacentral:lncRNA from 1 species